AACGAACGCUGGCGGCAGGCCUAACACAUGCAAGUCGAGCGGACCCUUCGGGGUUAGCGGCGGACGGGGGAGUAACGCGUGGGAAUAUGCCCUUCUCUACGGAAUAGUCCUGGGAAACUGGGGGUAAUACCGUAUACGCCCUUUGGGGGAAAGAUUUAUCGGGGAAGGAUUAGCCCGCGUUGGAUUAGGUAGUUGGUGGGGUAAUGGCCUACCAAGCCGACGAUCCAUAGCUGGUUUGAGAGGAUGAUCAGCCACACUGGGACUGAGACACGGCCCAGACUCCUACGGGAGGCAGCAGUGGGGAAUCUUAGACAAUGGGGGCAACCCUGAUCGAGCCAUGCCGCGUGAGUGAUGAAGGCCUUAGGGUUGUAAAGCUCUUUCAGCUGGGAAGAUAAUGACGGUACCAGCAGAAGAAGCCCCGGCUAACUCCGUG
rnacentral:rRNA from 1 species